UACGUAGGAGGCAAGCGUUAUCCGGAGUUACUGGGCGUAAAGAGUGCGUAGGCGGUUUGAUAAGUGGGUGGUGAAAGCGCCCGGCUAAACCGGGCGAGGUCCAUUCAGACUGUCAGUCUAGAGGCGGAUAGAGGGGUGCGGAAUUCCGGGUGUAGCGGUGAAAUGUGUAGAGAUCCGGAGGAACACCAGUGGUGCAAACGGCGCCCUGGGUCCGAACUGACGCUGAAGCACGAAAGCGUGGGGAGCGAACGGG
rnacentral:rRNA from 1 species